rnacentral:rRNA from 1 species
UGGGGAAUAUUGGACAAUGGGCGAAAGCCUGAUCCAGCCAUGCCGCGUGUGUGAAGAAGGUCUUCGGAUUGUAAAGCACUUUAAGUUGGGAGGAAGGGCAUUAACCUAAUACGUUAGUGUUUUGACGUUACCGACAGAAUAAGCACCGGCUAACUCUGUGCCAGCAGCCGCGGUAAUACAGAGGGUGCAAGCGUUAAUCGGAAUUACUGGGCGUAAAGCGCGCGUAGGUGGUUUGUUAAGUUGGAUGUGAAAUCCCCGGGCUCAACCUGGGAACUGCAUUCAAAACUGACUGACUAGAGUAUGGUAGAGGGUGGUGGAAUUUCCUGUGUAGCGGUGAAAUGCGUAGAUAUAGGAAGGAACGCCAGUGGCGAAGGCGACCACCUGGACUAAUACUGACACUGAGGUGCGAAAGCGUGGGGAGCAAACA